rnacentral:rRNA from 1 species
GACGAACGCUGGCGGCGUGCCUAAUACAUGCAAGUCGAGCGGAGUUAGAGAAGCUUGCUUCUCUAACUUAGCGGCGGACGGGUGAGUAACACGUGGGCAAUCUGCCCGUAAGACUGGGAUAACUCCGGGAAACCGGGGCUAAUACCGGGUAAUCCUGACUCUCUCCUGAGAGUCAGUUGAAAGAUGGUUUCGGCUAUCACUUACGGAUGAGCCCGCGGCGCAUUAGCUAGUUGGUAGGGUAAUGGCCUACCAAGGCGACGAUGCGUAGCCGACCUGAGAGGGUGAUCGGCCACACUGGGACUGAGACACGGCCCAGACUCCUACGGGAGGCAGCAGUAGGGAAUCUUCCACAAUGGACGAAAGUCUGAUGGAGCAACGCCGCGUGAGUGAAGAAGGUUUUCGGAUCGUAAAACUCUGUUGUAAGGGAAGAACACGUACGAGAGUAACUGCUCGUACCUUGACGGUACCUUAUUAGAAAGCCACGGCUAACUACGUG